CAGGCUUAUUUUUAAGCAGCCUUAAAGUCUGCGUGAACCGGAAAUUGCUGCCGACUUUAUUUCAGUGUAGUGACGUAUUUCCAGCUGAAAUGGAAUAUUGAA